CAGUAUAUAUUUUAAUUAAAAUAUUAAUUUUGGAGAUUAAUGAUAAUAUGUUUGUAUAUUUAUACUGA